rnacentral:rRNA from 1 species
GAUGAACGCUGGCGGCGUGCCUAAUACAUGCAAGUUGAGCGAACGGACGAGAGGCUUGCUUCUCUGAUGUUAGCGGCGGACGGGUGAGUAACACGUGGAUAACCUACCUAUAAGACUGGGAUAACUUCGGGAAACCGGAGCUAAUACCGGAUAAUAUUUUGAACCGCAUGGUUCAAAAGUGAAAGACGGUCUUGCUGUCACUUAUCGAUGGAUCCGCGCUGCAUUAGCUAGUUGGUAAGGUAACGGCUUACCAAGGCAACGAUGCAUAGCCGACCUGAGAGGGUGAUCGGCCACACUGGAACUGAGACGCGGUCCAGACGCCUACGGGAGGCAGCAGUAGGGAAUCUUCCGCAAUGGGCGAAAGCCUGACGGAGCAACGCCGCGUGAGUGAUGAAGGUCUUCGGAUCGUAAAACUCUGUUAUUAGGGAAGAACAUAUGUGUAAGUAACUGUGCACAUCUUGACGGUACCUAAUCAGAAAGCCACGGCUAACUACGUG